GUGGACCAGAGUAUUCCUACUUUACUUCACCCCCACCAGACCACAAAGAAAUAAAAAAAAAAAGUGCUUUUGUUCUCUCUCUCUCUCGUCAUUUUAGGUUAAACCCUUGCUUAAGAGCUUCUCUAAUUGCGUUUUAACUCUGAUAACACAAAACUGAGACUACUUUAGCAGAUGAAUAUUGGGUUUGCUUGAAGAUUCCAAGCAACCAAACCACACGUCAAAGUCACAGCCCUCUCCCUCUCUCUUCCUCUCUGUGUCGCACUUAAAACACAUUCAUUUGGCUGGUUUAGGGUUGCAGCCUUGCAG
rnacentral:misc_RNA from 1 species